CAGUCGCCGCGGUAAUACGAGGGGGGCAAGCGUUGUUCGGAAUUAUUGGGCGUAAAGCGUGCGCAGGCGGUUUGUUAAGACAGAUGUGAAAUCCCCGGGCUCAACCUGGGAACUGCAUUUGUGACUGGCAGGCUAGAGUAUGGGAGAGGGGGGUGGAAUUCCGCGUGUAGCAGUGAAAUGCGUAGAUAUGCGGAGGAACACCGAUGGCGAAGGCAGCCCCCUGGGACAAUACUGACGCUCAUGCACGAAAGCGUGGGGAGCAAACAGGAUUAGAUACCCGUGUAGUCCCUGUCUCUUAUAC
rnacentral:rRNA from 1 species